UUUUAUGGAGAGUUUGAUCCUGGCUCAGGAUGAACGCUGGCGGCGUGCCUAAUACAUGCAAGUCGAGCGAACAGACGAGGAGCUUGCUCCUCUGACGUUAGCGGCGGACGGGUGAGUAACACGUGGAUAACCUACCUAUAAGACUGGGAUAACUUCGGGAAACCGGAGCUAAUACCGGAUAAUAUAUUGAACCGCAUGGUUCAAUAGUGAAAGACGGUUUUGCUGUCACUUAUAGAUGGAUCCGCGCCGCAUUAGCUAGUUGGUAAGGUAACGGCUUACCAAGGCAACGAUGCGUAGCCGACCUGAGAGGGUGAUCGGCCACACUGGAACUGAGACACGGUCCAGACUCCUAAGGGAGGCAGCAGUAGGGAAUCUACAGCAAUGGACGAAAGCCUGACGGAG
rnacentral:rRNA from 1 species